GUCUUCCUAGCUCAGUGGAUAGAGCGUCCGGCUACGAACCGGAAGGUCAGGGGUUCAAAUCCCUUGGAGGACA
rfam:Gordonia malaquae NBRC 108250 DNA, contig: GM1017.